rnacentral:tRNA from 1 species
UCCCAGGUGGCUUAGUGGUAAAGAAUCAGCCUGCAAUGCAGGAGAUACAGGUUUGACCCCUCUGUUGGGAA